rnacentral:rRNA from 1 species
UACGGAAGGCAGCAGUGGGGAAUAUUGCACAAUGGGCGAAAGCCUGAUGCAGCUAUGCCGCGCGUAUGAAGAAGGCCUUAGGGUUGUAAAGUACUUUCAUCGGGGAGGAAAAACAAAACUAAUAAUUUUAUUUCUUGACGUUACCCGAAAAAGAAGCACCGGCUAACUCCGUGCCAGCAGCCGCGGUAAUACGGAGGGUGCUAGCGUUAAUCAGAAUUACUGGGCGUAAAGAGCACGUAGGUGGUUUUUUUAAGUCAGAUGUGAAAUCCCUGGGCUUAACCUAGGAACUGCAUUUUGAAACUGAAAUACUAGAGUAUCGUAGAGGGAGGUAGAAUUCUAGGUGUAGCGGUGAAAUGCGUAGAUAUCUGGAGGAAUACCUGUGGCGAAAGCGGCCUCCUAAACGAAUACUGACACUGAGGUGCGAAAGCGUGGGGAGCAAACAGGGAUUAGAUACC